AUUGAACGCUGGCGGCAUGCUUUACACAUGCAAGUCGAACGGUAACAGGUUGAGCUGACGAGUGGCGAACGGGUGAGUAAUGCAUCGGAACGUGCCCGGUCGUGGGGGAUAACGCAGCGAAAGCUGCGCUAAUACCGCAUACGAUCCGAGGAUGAAAGCGGGGGACCGUAAGGCCUCGCGCGAUCGGAGCGGCCGAUGUCAGAUUAGGUAGUUGGUGGGGUAAAGGCUCACCAAGCCAACGAUCUGUAGCUGGUCUGAGAGGACGACCAGCCACACUGGGACUGAGACACGGCCCAGACUCCUACGGGAGGCAGCAGUGGGGAAUUUUGGACAAUGGGCGAAAGCCUGAUCCAGCAAUGCCGCGUGCAGGAAGAAGGCCUUCGGGUUGUAAACUGCUUUUGUACGGAGCGAAAAGGUCUCCUCUAAUACAGGGGGCUCAUGACGGUACCGUAAGAAUAAGCACCGGCUAACUACGUGCCAGCCGCCGCGGUAA
rnacentral:rRNA from 1 species